rnacentral:rRNA from 1 species
AGAGUUUGAUCCUGGCUCAGGAUGAACGCUGGCGGCGUGCCUAAUACAUGCAAGUCGAGCGGACUUGAUGGAGAGCUUGCUCUCCUGAGAGUUAGCGGCGGACGGGUGAGUAACACGUAGGCAACCUGCCCUCUGGACUGGGAUAACUACCGGAAACGGUAGCUAAUACCAGAUAGGUCGCUUUCUCGCAUGAGAAGGUG